rnacentral:rRNA from 1 species
AGAGAUCAAACUAUAUAUUUUAGGUAAAAAGGCAGUUAGGCAUUAAAAAAGUUGCUGAUAUCCAUUAAUUAUAAGAUUAUCUAUUUAAAAGUAAAAUUUAUACAUAGAUAAAUAUUCUAAUAUGUAUUAAUAAAGUUGAAUCUGCGAAGUCCUUGAGGGAAACUGGGAUUAGAUACCCCAUUAUUCUUGGUUGUAAAUAAAUGUAAAUCUACCAGAGUACUACGAAUUGAAUAAUAAAAUUUAAAACUCAAAGAGCUUGGCGGUGUUUUAGACCUUUCAGGGGAACCUGUCUCAUAAUCGACAGUCCACGUUAAACCUAACCUUUUUUUGCAAUACAGUUUGUAUACCGUCGUCGUCAGGUAACUUUUUAGAAAAUAGAAGUUGGCAAUAAAAUCAUUAUUAAAUUUAAACGUCAGAUCAAGGUGCAGCUUAUAAAAAGGUGAGGAUGGGUUACAAUUACAAGUUAUAAUAACGAAUAAAAUAGUGAAAGCUCUAUUUUAAUGAAGGAGGACUUGAAAGUAAAAAAAACUUAUACGAAUAAUUUGAAUUC